CUGUGCUCUUCUUUUCUAUCUUUUUCAAUACUGAGAGGUUCCAAAGAAGAAAAAAGGAAAGAGUCUUUAUGGCCUUUUGGGGCUUUUUGCUGGUGCUAUUUUCAGCUCAAGCAUUUGUGGGACUCCCAAGAAUUUUAAGGCAGGGAAUGAUUGCAGUCUAAUGGGAAAAAUUGAAACAUCACUAAACAAGACAACACCAAAAACCAUGUACAAUGGCUUCCUCAUUCUUGCAUUCAAGUUUGUGCACUACCUAAUCUCGAGGGGAUACGACAAGACAUCUUCACCUUAUACAAUGAUCCUGCCAUCUUGGGUGGCAUUUACCCUAUCAGUUUCCUAUAUGUCAGAGUUAUCAUUAAGCUGAGAGUACAAGAGAUAUCAAAGACUGGUUGGUACCUGCAUUCAGAAUAAGUAUUUCCUUACCCUGAUCAUUUCAGAGGCAUCUACGAAGUGACACGUUCAUGGUCAACUACAACUUCAACUGCAGCAUGGAGAGGCUUCUUCAAAAUAAUACCAUUUAUCAGGGAACAUUCAAGAAGAUGAGUCUAAGACUUAGUCAACGUGAAGCCAGGAUAAAGAAAAUAUAAUGAAUAAAGGAGCGUUUGUAAACAAUUGAUACUUUUUCCCAUCAGGAAGAACAUUCCCCAAAAUAUAUCCUAGUUCUGUAAACUUCAAGUAGUAUUUCAAUGAAAAUGCCAUACGUUUUAUUAA